AUGCUGGAGGUAUCAGAAGUGCGAAUGCUGACAUAAGUAACGAUAAAGCGGGUGAAAAGCCCGCUCGCCGGAAGACCAAGGGUUCCUGUCCAACGUUAAUCGGGGCAGGGUGAGUCGACCCCUAAGGCGAGGCCGAAAGGCGUAGUCGAUGGGAAACAGGUUAAUAUUCCUGUACUUGGUGUUACUGCGAAGGGGGGACGGAGAAGGCUAUGUUGGCCGGGCGACGGUUGUCCCGGUUUAAGCGUGUAGGCUGGUUUUCCAGGCAAAUCCGGAAAAUCAAGGCUGAGGCGUGAUGACGAGGCACUACGGUGCUGAAGCAACAAAUGCCCUGCUUCCAGGAAAAGCCUCUAAGCAUCAGGUAACAUCAAAUCGUACCCCAAACCGACACAGGUGGUCAGGUAGAGAAUACCAAGGCGCUUGAGAGAACUCGGGUGAAGGAACUAGGCAAAAUGGUGCCGUAACUUCGGGAGAAGGCACGCUGAUAUGUAGGUGAAGUGCCUCGCUGAUGGAGCUGAAAUCAGUCGAAGAUACCAGCUGGCUGCAACUGUUUAUUAAAAACACAGCACUGUGCAAACACGAAAGUGGACGUAUACGGUGUGACGCCUGCCCGGUGCCGGAAGGUUAAUUGAUGGGGUUAGCGCAAGCGAAGCUCUUGAUCGAAGCCCCGGUAAACGGCGGCCGUAACUAUAACGGUCCUAAGGUAGCGAAAUUCCUUGUCGGGUAAGUUCCGACCUGCACGAAUGGCGUAAUGAUGGCCAGGCUGUCUCCACCCGAGACUCAGUGAAAUUGAACUCGCUGUGAAGAUGCAGUGUACCCGCGGCAAGACGGAAAGACCCCGUGAACCUUUACUAUAGCUUGACACUGAACAUUGAGCCUUGAUGUGUAGGAUAGGUGGGAGGCUUAGAAGUGUGGACGCCAGUCUGCAUGGAGCCGACCUUGAAAUACCACCCUUUAAUGUUUGAUGUUCUAACGUUGACCCGUAAUCCGGGUUGCGGACAGUGUCUGGUGGGUAGUUUGACUGGGGCGGUCUCCUCCUAAAGAGUAACGGAGGAGCACGAAGGUUGGCUAAUCCUGGUCGGACAUCAGGAGGUUAGUGCAAUGGCAUAAGCCAGCUUGACUGCGAGCGUGACGGCGCGAGCAGGUGCGAAAGCAGGUCAUAGUGAUCCGGUGGUUCUGAAUGGAAGGGCCAUCGCUCAACGGAUAAAAGGUACUCCGGGGAUAACAGGCUGAUACCGCCCAAGAGUUCAUAUCGACGGCGGUGUUUGGCACCUCGAUGUCGGCUCAUCACAUCCUGGGGCUGAAGUAGGUCCCAAGGGUAUGGCUGUUCGCCAUUUAAAGUGGUACGCGAGCUGGGUUUAGAACGUCGUGAGACAGUUCGGUCCCUAUCUGCCGUGGGCGCUGGAGAACUGAGGGGGGCUGCUCCUAGUACGAGAGGACCGGAGUGGACGCAUCACUGGUGUUCGGGUUGUCAUGCCAAUGGCACUGCCCGGUAGCUAAAUGCGGAAGAGAUAAGUGCUGAAAGCAUCUAAGCACGAAACUUGCCCCGAGAUGAGUUCUCCCUGACUCCUUGAGAGUCCUGAAGGAACGUUGAAGACGACGACGUUGAUAGGCCGGGUGUGUAAGCGCAGCGAUGCGUUGAGCUAACCGGUACUAAUGAACCGUGAGGCUUAACCUU
rnacentral:rRNA from 2 species